UACGGGAGGCAGCAGUGGGGAAUAUUGCACAAUGGGCGCAAGCCUGAUGCAGCCAUGCCGCGUGUAUGAAGAAGGCCUUCGGGUUGUAAAGUACUUUCAGUCGUGAGGAAGGUGUUAAGGUUAAUAACCUUAGCAAUUGACGUUAGCGACAGAAGAAGCACCGGCUAACUCCGUGCCAGCAGCCGCGGUAAUACGGAGGGUGCGAGCGUUAAUCGGAAUUACUGGGCGUAAAGGGCACGCAGGCGGUUAAUUAAGUUGGAUGUGAAAUCCCCGGGCUUAACCUGGGAAUGGCAUUCAAGACUGGUUAGCUAGAGUCUUGUAGAGGGGGUAGAAUUCCAUGUGUAGCGGUGAAAUGCGUAGAGAUGUGGAGGAAUACCGGCGGCGAAGGCGGCCCCUGGGACAAAGGACUGACGCUCAUGUGCGAAAGCGUGGGGAGCAAACAGGGAUUAGAUACC
rnacentral:rRNA from 1 species